rnacentral:lncRNA from 1 species
AUAGCAACAGCAGGGUAGCUGAACAUCUUACGGAUGGCCCAGGGCUCCAAAGGCUUGUUUCCUAAGUGAGAGAGAGCCCGGCUGAAGCUCUAUUACCAUUCAUUCUCUAGCCUCCGAAGUCUCAAAGCAUCACUUCCACCAUACUCUAAUUGUCAAGACAAACACAAAGUCCUAGAAAGAAUACAGUAUCGAUGUUCCUUUUAAACAAGUAUUUGAGUAAAAGCAAUGUUUCCAAUGUGUGUCAGAAAGUGAAUACUUGCAUAUUUCUGCAUGGUUAGAGCUGAGCUUUCCAAGCAAAUUUUACUGGGACCCGGUUGAAAGACAGGUCUUGGAAGUGAAAUGAUGACUGACUAGAUGAAACUGCCAGACUGUCUUCCGAAGUGGCUAUAAUAUUUACACUCCCAUCAGCAGUGUAGAUGGGGGUCUCACUACGUUGUCUGGAGUGCAGUGGCUAGAGUGGAGUGGCUAUUCACAGGAUUCUUGAAAUGGACUGUAAAAGUCUGGAGUCAAGACUUUGUGUUUCCUCUCUAACAUGUAAAGAGCUUAGAAGUUGUUGCUACUGCCCUUACAACAAAUUGAAGCUGGACAAACUGAAAAUCAAUGACUUUUCUUGGACUCACUAUAGAGCUGAGUUUGCAGAGUAAACCACUACCCUGAAAUCUGGAGAGGCAGGUGCACCCAUAGAGUCUCAGCUGAGAUCCAAUUACCUGAAAUAGAAGCUGCCAUUAGGAACACUUAAAUG